GACGAACGCUAGCGGUAUGCUUAACACAUGCAAGUCGAACGGUGAUGUCGUGGAUCUGUGGGGAGCUAAAGUGGCGACCGGGCUAGAAAUAGGUGAUUAACCUGCCCUGGACUUUGGGAUAACUUAAGGAAACUGGGACUAAUACGGGAUGGGAGCGCAUCUUGCAAGGAGUGGGUUGGAAAGUCUCGGCGGUUGGAGAUGGACCUGCGUGUUGUUAGCUCGUUGGUGGGGUAGUGGCUUACCAAGACUAUGAAGGGUAGCCGGCCUGUGAGGGUGAGCGGCCACAUUGGGACUGAGAUACGGCCCGGACUCCUACGGGAGGCAGCAGUGGGGAAUAUUGCACAAUGGGCGAAAGCCUGAUGCAGCAACGCCGCGUGCGUGAAGACGGCCUACGGGGUGUGUACCGCUUUCGCCUGUAACGAAGCGUGAGGAACAGGAAUGGGUAAAGAAGCACCGGCUAACUACGU
rnacentral:rRNA from 1 species